rnacentral:rRNA from 1 species
GAUGAACGCUGGCGGCGCGCCUAACACAUGCAAGUCGAACGGCACCUAUCUUCGGAUAGAAGCGAGUGGCGAACGGCUGAGUAACACGUGGAGAACCUGCCCCCUCCCCCGGGAUAGCCGCCCGAAAGGACGGGUAAUACCGGAUACCCCCGGGCGCCGGAUGGCGCCCGGGCUAAAGCCCCGACGGGAGGGGAUGGCUCCGCGGCCCAUCAGGUAGACGGCGGGGUGACGGCCCACCGUGCCGACAACGGGUAGCCGGGUUGAGAGACCGACCGGCCAGAUUGGGACUGAGACACGGCCCAGACUCCUACGGGAGGCAGCAGUGGGGAAUCUUGCGCAAUGGGGGGAACCCUGACGCAGCGACGCCGCGUGCGGGACGGAGGCCUUCGGGUCGUAAACCGCUUUCAGCAGGGAAGAGUCAAGACUGUACCUGCAGAAGAAGCCCCGGCUAACUACGUGCCAGCAGCCGCGGUAAUACGUAGGGGGCGAGCGUUAUCCGGAUUCAUUGGGCGUAAAGCGCGCGUAGGCGGCCCGGCAGGCCAGGGGUCGAAGCGGGGGGCUCAACCCCCCGAAGCCCCCGGAACCUCCGCGGCUUGGGUCCGGUAGGGGAGGGUGGAACACCCGGUGUAGCGGUGGAAUGCGCAGAUAUCGGGUGGAACACCGGUGGCGAAGGCGGCCCUCUGGGCCGAGACCGACGCUGAGGCGCGAAAGCUGGGGGAGCGAACAGGAUUAGAUACCCUGGUAGUCCCAGCCGUAAACGAAGGCGGUUAGGUGUGGGGGGACGAUCCCCCCCUUCCCGCAGCCAACGCAUUAAGCGUCCCGCCUGGGGAGUACGGCCGCAAGGCUAAAAAUCAAAGGAAUAGAACGGGGGCCCGCACAAGCAGCGGAGCAUGUGGCUUAAUUCGAAGCAACGCGAAGAACCUUACCAGGGCUUGACAUAUGGGUGAAGCGGGGGAGACCCCGUGGCCGAGAGGAGCCCAUACAGGUGGUGCAUGGCUGUCGUCAGCUCGUGUCGUGAGAUGUUGGGUUAAGUCCCGCAACGAGCGCAACCCCCGCCGCGUGUUGCCAUCGGGUGAUGCCGGGAACCCACGCGGGACCGCCGCCGUCAAGGCGGAGGAGGGCGGGGACGACGUCAAGUCAUCAUGCCCCUUAUGCCCUGGGCUGCACACGUGCUACAAUGGCCGGUACAGAGGGAUGCCACCCCGCGAGGGGGAGCGGAUCCCGGAAAGCCGGCCCCAGUUCGGAUUGGGGGCUGCAACCCGCCCCCACGAAGUCGGAGUUGCUAGUAAUCGCGGAUCAGCAUGCCGCGGCGAAUGAGAUCCCGGGCCUUGCACA